rnacentral:rRNA from 1 species
AGAUUGAACGCUGGCGGCAUGCCUUACACAUGCAAGUCGAACGGCAGCACGGGAGCAAUCCUGGUGGCGAGUGGCGAACGGGUGAGUAAUACAUCGGAACGUGCCCAGUAGUGGGGGAUAACCCGGCGAAAGCCGGACUAAUACCGCAUACGACCUACGGGUGAAAGCAGGGGAUCGCAAGACCUUGCGCUAUUGGAGCGGCCGAUGUCAGAUUAGCUUGUUGGCGGGUAAAAGCCCACCAAGGCGACGAUCUGUAGC